GCCUUCGUAGAUCGCAGUGAUCCCUCCCACCCAAUAUUGUAGCAUUCACUUAAUGAUCUAAAGGGAGAGGUGGAGGUUCGAAUCCUCCCGGGGGCA